AGUGAACGCUGGCGGUAGGCCUAACACAUGCAAGUCGAACGGCAGCACAGUAAGAGCUUGCUCUUACGGGUGGCGAGUGGCGGACGGGUGAGGCAUACAUCGGAAUCUACUUUUUCGUGGGGGAUAACGUAGGGAAACUUACGCUAAUACCGCAUACGACCUACGGGUGAAAGCAGGGGAUCUUCGGACCUUUCGCGAUUGAAUGAGCCGAUGUCGGAUUAGCUAGUUGGCUGGGUAAAGGCCCACCAAGGCGACGAUCCGUAGCUGGUCUGAGAGGAUGAUCAGCCACACUGGAACUGAGACACGGUCCAGACUCCUACGGGAGGCAGCAGUGGGGAAUAUUGGACAAUGGGCGCAAGCCUGAUCCAGCCAUACCGCGUGGGUGAAGAAGGCCUUCGGGUUGUAAAGCCCUUUUGUUGGGAAAGAAAAGCAGCAGGUUAAUACCCCGCUGUUCUGACGGUACCCAAAGAAUAAGCACCGGCUAACUUCGUG
rnacentral:rRNA from 1 species